rnacentral:misc_RNA from 1 species
AAAAAAAAAGAAUGUAAAAAAAAAUAACAGAAGCAGGAAGGAUAUGGUUUUAGAGUCAUUGCACUAGAUCUGCGCAUUGCACUAGCUCUGCACACAUUGUUCACAGUGAAGGAUCUUAUAUUAUGGUUUUUCUUUUAUUUGGCAUGUUGCUUAAUGGAAGUCUGAUGAAGAAUGUGCUCCUUUGCCUGUGAUGUACAUAACUGGCAUGUGAAUCUGCACGGAAGUGGGGUCAGAUUUAUUUGGCGUUGGCCAUGAGAUCAGUGAUGUGGAAAGUGGCUCGUCUGGUGUACAUGUUGUAAAUGAGUUGAUAUGCUGCUUCAUUGAAUCAAACAGUGAGUAUUCUUGCUGUGAAUCUUAACGUAUAAGGUCUUCAUUGCUUGAGGAGUUGGGUGAAUUAGUUUUCCUGCUGUGAAGCGGAUAGUGUGAUGCAGGCGCCUCUCAAGCCAUUAAUGUUGUGGUGGAUAGUUCUGGAUGGAGCCACUGAUUUCGUCAGAGCUCUCCGCUUGUAGCUGUGGGAGCUGCAGAUCUAUAUACUUCGGUGCCCGUUGAUUCCGUUGUUUCAUUUAUGUUCUCAUUGCUGGAUUUUGGCUUACUGCUUUAAUUGCAGAAGCAACAAUCUGUUUUUACUGGCUAGGGUGAUUUGUAUUAUCCAUUAGUAGUACGGGGCUUGUAUUUUGUGUCUUCUAUCAGAGGAAGUUUUAUGGGCCUCACUUGGGCACCAGAUU